rnacentral:misc_RNA from 1 species
AAAAAAAUUAGGAGUGUCCGAUACAGCGUCUUAGGGAAAAGAAACGGGGAGGACGAGGCGAGACCUCAGGCUUAGGCUCAAGUGAUUCUAGAGGGAAAUGUUUAUAGAAUGCUUUCACAGCUCCAGUCACUCCAUCCUCAUGUUCCAUGGCUUUUGCUAGUUCUACAGCACGUUCUUUUACCUCUGGAUCUAGCAUGAACCGGAUGGCAGCGACCAACUUUUCAAGGGAGAACUCGUCCACAGGGAUGGGAGCAGGACCUACUCCCCUAGCAUGCACACGUUCACCCCAAAAUUGUUGAUCCCCAAAGAAAGGUACCACAGUUGUUGGGCAUGCAGCUUUUAGUCCAG